rnacentral:rRNA from 1 species
CCUCCUUUUUCCCUCUUUCCUCUUCCUUCCUUUUCUUCCUGCGUUCUUCGGUGGUUGUUUAAGUCUGUUGUGAAAGCCCUGGGCUCAACCUGGGAACUGCAGUGGAAACUAGACAACUAGAGUGUGGUAGAGGGUAGCGGAAUUCCUGGUGUAGCAGUGAAAUGCGUAGAGAUCAGGAGGAACAUCCAUGGCGAAGGCAGCUACCUGGACCAACACUGACACUGAGGCACGAAAGCGUGGGGAGCAAACAG